rnacentral:tRNA from 1 species
GAGUGUAUAGCUCAGCGGUAGAGCAGUAGAUUGUGGAUCUAUUGGUGGCGGGUUCGACCCCCGUUACACUCC